GACAAACGCUGGCGGCGUGCUUAACACAUGCAAGUCGAACGGGGUGCCUUAGAUUGAGACUUCGGUCAAUUUCUUUGGUUACCUAGUGGCGGACGGGUGAGUAACACGUGAGUAACCUGCCCUUGAGUGGGGAAUAACACACCGAAAGGUGUGCUAAUACCGCAUAACAUAUCGGAAUCGCAUGUUUCUGAUAUCAAAGAUUUAUUGCUCGAAGGAUGGGCUCGCGGCCGAUUAGGUAGUUGGUGAGGUAAUGGCUCACCAAGCCGACGAUCAGUAGCCGGUCUGAGAGGAUGAACGGCCACAUUGGGACUGAGAUACGGCCCAGACUCCUACGGGAGGCAGCAGUGGGGAAUAUUGGGCAAUGGGGGAAACCCUGACCCAGCAACGCCGCGUGAAGGAAGAAGGCCUUCGGGUUGUAAACUUCUUUUACCAGGGACGAACACAAUGACGGUACCUGGAGAAAAAGCAACGGCUAACUACGUG
rnacentral:rRNA from 1 species